AACGAACGCUGGCGGCAUGCCUAACACAUGCAAGUCGAACGGGAUCUUCGGAUCUAGUGGCGGACGGGUGAGUAACGCGUGGGAACGUGCCCUUUGGUUCGGAAUAGCCCUGGGAAACCGGGAGUAAUACCGGAUGAGCCCUUCGGGGGAAAGAUUUAUCGCCAAAGGAUCGGCCCGCGUUGGAUUAGGUAGUUGGUGGGGUAAUGGCCUACCAAGCCGAAGAUCCAUAGCUGGUUUGAGAGGAUGAUCAGCCACACUGGGACUGAGACACGGCCCAGACUCCUACGGGAGGCAGCAGUGGGGAAUCUUAGACAAUGGGGGAAACCCUGAUCUAGCCAUGCCGCGUGAGCGAUGAAGGCCUUAGGGUUGUAAAGCUCUUUCAGUGGGGAAGAUAAUGACGGUACCCACAGAAGAAGCCCCGGCUAACUCCGUGCCAGCCGCCGCCGUAAGAC
rnacentral:rRNA from 1 species